rnacentral:hammerhead_ribozyme from 1 species
AUCUACCUGACGAGUCCCGAAUGGGGCGAAACACGAGUUCUGGAU